rnacentral:lncRNA from 1 species
AUCGAGGUAAAUUUCAUACCCCCGACUCGUUUUUCUCCGCUGAUUCCUCCUAUGGCCAAAUUGAGGCCGAAAUCCUGGCCAAACGGCCGGAAUACGCGGCCGAAACCUAGCGGCGCCGCCGCGCCCCUCUCGGUUUUUGCCUCCGACGAGGUCCUUCCCGGCCUCCGUUCGAUGCAAUUUUUAUAUCACCGUGAUCACCAUUCUUUUCUCUACAGGUUGACCGAAGCCGAAUCACCAAAACACGAACCUCGCCGGAGAGCCGCCGUACCCGAGAGCGCCGCCGCCGGAAAGCUCCGCUUUUCUGUGAUUUUUGGCCCCCCCGGGGGCCCUAGGGUUGUUUUCUGACAAGGACCAAUGCGAGUGUGGCCGAAUUCGGCCGAAAACGGCCGAAAACAGCCAACCCGAGGCGACUCGCCG